GACGAACGCUGGCGGCGUGCUUAACACAUGCAAGUCGAACGGAAAGGCCCUGCUUUUGUUGGGUGCUCGAGUGGCGAACGGGUGAGUAACACGUGAGUAACCUGCCCUUGACUUUGGGAUAACUUCAGGAAACUGGUGCUAAUACCGGAUAGGAGCUCCUGCUGCAUGGUGGGGGUUGGAAAGUUUCGGCGGUUGGGGAUGGACUCGCGGCUUAUCAGCUUGUUGGUGGGGUAGUGGCUUACCAAGGCUUUGACGGGUAGCCGGCCUGAGAGGGUGACCGGACACAUUGGGACUGAGAUACGGCCCAGACUCCUACGGGAGGCAGCAGUGGGGAAUAUUGCACAAUGGGCGGAAGCCUGAUGCAGCAACGCCGCGUGCGGGAUGACGGCCUUCGGGUUGUAAACCGCUUUCGCCUGUGACGAAGCGUGAGUGACGGUAAUGGGUAAAGAAGCACCGGCUAACUACGUG
rnacentral:rRNA from 1 species